UGGGGAAUAUUGCACAAUGGGGGAAACCCUGAUGCAGCCAUGCCGCGUGUGUGAAGAAGGCCUUCGGGUUGUAAAGCACUUUCAGCGAGGAGGAAAGGUUGAUGCCUAAUACGCAUCAACUGUGACGUUACUCGCAGAAGAAGCACCGGCUAACUCCGUGCCAGCAGCCGCGGUAAUACAGAGGGUGCAAGCGUUAAUCGGAAUUACUGGGCGUAAAGCGCGCGUAGGUGGUUAGUUAAGUUGGAUGUGAAAUCCCCGGGCUCAACCUGGGAACUGCAUUCAAAACUGACUGACUAGAGUAUGGUAGAGGGUGGUGGAAUUUCCUGUGUAGCGGUGAAAUGCGUAGAUAUAGGAAGGAACACCAGUGGCGAAGGCGACCACCUGGACUGAUACUGACACUGAGGUGCGAAAGCGUGGGGAGCAAACA
rnacentral:rRNA from 1 species